CGCGCAUUCCAGGGGGGUCCCGACAGGGGGCUGAGAUACCAACGGCCGGGCGCGUCAGCGCAUCCGGCAGCGUGGUGACCCUUCGAACCUGAUCCGGGUCAUGCCGGCGAAGGGAGGGAACACGCGACCGGG
rnacentral:ncRNA from 1 species